rnacentral:lncRNA from 1 species
AUGUUAGCUUUAGCCAAGAUGUGCCCCGCUCAAGAUGGGUUCACUCGACUCUCUGUAGGACACUGUUGCCCCAGAAUUUCUGCAGGCAGCUCACUUUGUCAAAUCCAAAACAGAAUCCACUGUUUUCUCAGAAACCGGCUCCUUCACUGCUUCUCCAAGGAAACACUUUCUGAAUGUUUAAUGUGUUCCAGGCUUUGUCUCAAGAACUCCACCCUCCAGAAGCACGGAAUGGCGAGGAGACAGAUACGGGAAGGCCAGGCACAGGAGGCAGAAUAUGUGCAUCACGAAGGGGCAGGAGACCGAGUGACAGUCACCAGCUCUCUUCCACAUGCACAUAGCUACUAGCAUGUUGUACCAUCUGGGGUGAUUCUGACAAGUUGGUGCUGCCAUGAAGAUUGUCUGGAAAUGGGUCCACUCCUGGAGGUACCUGAGCAGCAGGAUUUCAGCAUAGAACAGGCUGAGAGAACCGUGAGGCACAUGCAGUCGGAACACUGUCUGUUUGUUAACAAGGAAAACAGUCACUUCUGCAGCAAGAGCGCAGACCCCAGGAGGUGGCUGACCUCCAGGAUGUUGUCACAGCCCACAGGGUAGUGCCUUGCUGUGUGCCUGCCCUCUGCCCAGACAGCAACCUCUCUGCUUUCUCAAGUGUCAUCUUUUCUUCCGGGGAAAGGAGCGAGCCGUGGCCCUUUUAUGCCGCUGAUCUCCAGAGCUGAAGUCCCUUUCAGGUGCAUAUUCUGAGCCAAAUCUUUCUUCAAGGACGUCCACUGGAUCAGCCUCCAGGCUGCUCAGAAGGGUCUUGUUUCUCCCGCUCUCUCCUCCACCCACAGCCCCAGGAUACCUUCCACUCUCCAGGAAGGGUCACCUCCAGAUUGUGCUCUGGAGAUGGUGUUGCCAGGCAGAGAGCCUCCGCAGCAGACGUGUUGUGCAUUUGGACUUUGGGUAGGAAAACUAUAAUGAGCUUUAGGGUAUUUUUAGGAACUGCUAUGUAUACUUCGUUUGUUCCUAAAAAUACAACACAAAAUUUGAUUUCAAAAAUCCACAGGACAAGCCAAUUUUGAAAACUUUAAUCAGGUUAGAAUUUGGCAGUAUUUAGACCCAAGUUAAAAUCGAACUUGAGGUUUGGGGGAACUUAGUUCAAGUAAUUACUAAUUUAAAUCUUUGAGGGGUAAAAAUAACUUAGAAUUUAAGUAAAAUGUGAGGAAAUACUUAUUAGUUCUAGAUUUAUCUGAAUUUUUCAUCCUAAAAGAUUUUAUUUAGGUUUUCAUUUUUCUCUAUGUCAGAUGAUGGUUUUUACUCAGAGCUUUUAAUCAGAUUUUUAGAUGAAAAUAGUUUUUAUCCUUAUUCAAGAACUAAAUUUCUUCCUGAAAGAAAAAUGUCAUUGAGAUUAAUUGUUCCAUAUUAAUAUAUAUUGUUUAAACAGAAAACAGUAACAGCAAGAUUACUUCUGGAAAAAAAUGCUUAAAUGGUUUCUGGCUUGAAGGAAUGUUUUAUGUAAAUUAAUUCAAGUUGCCUAUGGGCAAGAAAUAAAAUCGGGCAGUUGAAAACGUCCCA